rnacentral:sRNA from 1 species
AUUUUGGACUCUAACAAAGAUGACAAAUCUGACAUAUCAUUCUACAUAAAUAAAAUAAAAGAAUCUGUGUACUAAAAUAUAGACUUCUAUGUCAGAAAAAACGUAAAUUUUAAGUUAUUAUUUUUUACCGUCUAGAUUUAUUAUUUAUUAUAAAUUAU